UCUGUGCCCUGCCCCCAGAGGUGGAGCCUACAGAGGCAGGCAGGACUCCUUGAGCUGUGGUGGGCUGGGCCCAGUUGGAGCUUCCCGGCUGCUUUGUUUACCUAAGCAAGCCUGGGCAAUGGCGGGCGCCCCUCCGCCAGCCUCACUGCCGCCUUGCAGUUUGAUCUCAGACUGCUGUGCUAGCAAUCAGCGAGACUCCGUGGGCGUAGGACCCUCCGAGCCAGGUGCCGGAUAUAAUCUCGUGGUGCGCCGUUUUUUAAGCCCGUCCGAAAAGCGCAAUAUUCGGGUGGGAGUGACCCGAUUUUCCAGGAGGGGGAGGAGCCAAGAUGGCCGAAUAGGAACAGCUCCGGUCUACAGCUCCCAGCCUGAGCGACGCAGAAGACGGGUGAUUUCUGCAUUUCCAUCUGAGUGAACAUAGAUUCCUUCAGUAAAUAUUGGGAAAACAUUUGCUUCAGGCCCAUUACUGGGUACCGCUUUGAUACAGAGGACACACCAAGGAACAAGACAGAUAGGACCUCUGCCUCUGGUAAGUUUGCAUUCCAGAGGGAGGAGAAGACAAUAAGCAAGCAAGCCAUCAAGACCACGUCAGAUGAGACGAAUAAAGUCAGACAGCUUCCAAGGAGUGGAUGCUUAUGGAGAGAUCACAUGGAGCCUUGUAGCUGAUUUAUAAUCUCAUGGUCCUCAUUCAUACAUCAAACCCCUGAAGGCCUGGCAUUUUUAUCUCCCGACUCAACCUGCAUGCUACCAGAAGCUCGACAAAAUUACGCCUGUUUAGGAAAAGACUGGAGGAAUUCGUGGAGGAAUUCUUGGAGGGGGAACACUGAAGUCCGGUGAGUGGUCCUACAAAAACACUUGAAGGGAUUGAGUUCCAGCAAGAAGAGGAGAUUGGCAUCUAAUUUCCUGUUGGGUUAUGCUUAUGCAGCAGUCUCUGAUCUAUAUUCUGUGACUAUUGAGAAGGAGCAAAGGCUAUUGGAGGAAGGUGAUGGAGUGAAAAAGGGAAAGCAGUUGAGCUUCCUACAUGCUCCAUGCUGUGGCAAGAAAAAAAAUGUCCUGUGUCUCCCCUCCAGAGUGUAGGUCCCUGAGGGCAGUCACCUGAUCUGUCUCAGUCACUGCAGUGUCCCCAAACAGAGCACCGCCUCAGGCACACAGAGGGCAGUGGUGAGGACUAAAGGAGGCGAUGAGAAGAGAGUCCCCACAAGGAGUCUGGCACAGAGGAAGUUUCGACGUAUGCUGUCCAUUGCAACUUCGACUUAUGCUGCGUUUCUGUGUCGGAACAGUGGAAGACAUUCAACAAGCACUUUGUCUCAGAGGCUUAGUUACAAUUAAUUGAGCCUGAAAGACCAUAGACUUGAAAAAGCCCUCAAAGUGAUAAAGGUAAAAAGAAAAAUAAAAUGACAUCUAGCAGGCACUGAGGGCUCUACAACGUGUGGCUAGCCUGUAUUCAGCACCCUACAGUGUGCAGCCAGGCUGUGCUCAGCAUCCUACAGUGUGCAGCCAGGCUGUGCUCAGUACUCUACAGUGAGUAGCCAGCCUGUGCUCAGCACUCCGCAGUGAGUGGCCAGCCUGUGCUCAGCACUCUACAGUAUGUGGCCAAACUGUGCUCAGCACUCCACAGUGAGUGGCCAGCCUGUGGUCAGGACUCUACAGUGAGUGGCCAGUCUAUACUCUGCACUCUACAGUGAGUGGCCAGCCUGUACACAGCACUCCACAGUCGUCAUCUUUUCAUCAUAAAUCUAAUGGCCACUUAAUGAGGUAGACCUGUCCCAUGACUUGAACUGAUUUCAAAAACUCAAAACUCAUACUCUCUUGCAUUUGGCAACCAAAACACAACCCACUUCCUGGGACCUUCUGACAGCCAGGCCACGUUGAGCAAACACCGAGCCCUCUUCAGAGUUGGUCAGCAGCCAGGUCAGCAGCGACUGGCAAGGCGACUGCUUGCCAGGUCUCCUCCAGCAUGAGCUUGGGAUGGAGCUGAAUCCCUUUCAUGCACAAGCAGAAUUUGAAAAGGUGCGGGGCCACACUAGUACCUCUGCGUCUCCUGCCAGAGCCCACCAGCUUAUUUUGCUUCUUCAGAGUCUGUAAAGCAUCCUUCUGGAUGACGAAUGCCUUCCGAGGCUCCAGCCCACCAAGCCUUCCUCUAAGUUUCAGAUGCAGAGGCCACCUCGGAGAACUGUGAUUGUCUCCCUGCAUCUCCCCAGUGCCCCCGGAUGAGUGCCACCCUCCUCACCUGCUAUCACAAAGACAAGAAAGGCCAUUCAUAAUUUAAGUCAGCCCUUUCUUUCCUGCACGCCACCAACAUGAGUCAGAUGCUGGAGGAAAAAUUGAACUCUUUCUCCCAGGAUACACCAAAGAUCAAGCAGAAUCUCAUUAAGGCUCACUUCAAAGACUCGUCCUUUAUUUCCAUACAAACAAGUUUAAAUUAUCGUGUGUGAAUCUGCUGUUAGCAGGGACUCUGUUCCAUUAUGCAUGAUUCCUUACUGUUCAUAUCAUGAAUAAUGGGCAGUGCUCCGUUAGCGAUUUCCAGUAAUAUGCUAAACUUUGGGAGUGGUCAUGGUGUUAGGUUAAAGUUCUGGUGUUUGCCUAUUUUAUUUCUUACUCAAGCUAUAAUGGCCUGCUUCAUCAAAAUAGGUUUCACAGUCUUAUUGUAAUGAACACAGCAUAACACAUGUUGUGGCUAUGAUUUCCUUAUUAUUAUUAUUGAAUAUUUAUUGAGCACUUACUAUGUGUAAGGGAUGGUGCUCAGUGUAUGCAUUGCAUGCAUAAUAUUUAAUCUUCCGGAAUCCCAUGAAAUAGCUAUGAUGAUUAUUCCCAUUUUACUGGUGAAAAAAACUGAUAAUUUGAGCAGGAUCUAAAUUAUCCACAGAUAAAACUUUUUUGUGUGUUUUUGAGACAGGGUCUCACUUUGUGACCCAGGCUGGAGUGCAGUGGUGCAAUUAUGGCUCACUGCAGCCUUGACUUUCCAGGCUCAAGCGAUCCUCCCACCUCAGCCUCCUGAGUAGCUGGGACUACAGGCAUGCACCAUCACACUGGCUAAUGUUUUAAACAAUUUUUGUAGAGAUGGUGUCUUGCUAUUUUGCCCAAGCUGGUCUGGAACUCCUGGGCUCAAGCAAUCUGCCCACUUCAGCCUCCCAAGAUGAUGGGAGUACAGGCAUGAGCCACCGUGCCUGGCCUGAUAGAACUGUUAAUAAAUGGUAAUGCUGAUUCAAAUCAGUUGGUCUGACUUCAGAUACUCCUAAUUAUAAAAUACUUUUUACAACGCUAUUACUUGCUGAAGAGCUUUGGCAGAUAAUCGAUGAUUUGGUAAGCAGGUAUUUGGAUGUCCAGUGCACAUUUCUCAUGUCCAGAUGAGAAAUGAAUGCUCAGGGGAUUGCUUGAUACCUGGGAGUGAGAAAAUCCUUGUUCAAGUACUGGUUUUGACUUCACUUAAUCUUGGGCAAGUCAUCCAGUCUUCCUGGAUGUGCUGAGGUGGUUGCAUUAUUGCCUUUGUAAUUUUUUUUCUUCAUUUUUUUAUUAUACUUUAAGUUCUAGGGUACAUGUGCACAACGUGCAGGUUUGUUACAUAUGUAUAUAUGUGUCAUGUUGGUGUGCUGCACCCAUUAACUCAUCAUUUUCAUAAGGUAUAUCUCCUAAUGCUAUCCCUUCCCCCUCCCCCCACUCCAUGACAGGCCCCUCUGUGUGAUGUUCCCCAUCCUGUGUCUAAGUGUUCUCAUUGUGCAAUUCCCACCUAUGAGCGAGAGAGAACAUGCGGUGUUUGGUUUUCUGUCCUUGCGAUAGUUUGCUCAGAAUGAUGGUUUCCAGCUUCAUCCAUGUCCCUACAAAGGACAUGAACUCAUCCUUUUUUAUGGCUACGUAGUAUUCCAUGGUGUAUAUGUGCCAAAUUUUCUUAAUCCAGUCUAUCAUUGGUAGACAUUUGGAUUGGUUCCAAGUCUUUGCUAUUGUGAAUAGUGCCGCAAUAAACAUACAUGUGCAUAUGUCUUUAUAGCAGCAUGAUUUAUAAUCCUUUGGGUAUAUACCCAGUAAUGGGAUGGCUGGGUCAAAUGGUAUUUCUAGUUCUAGAUCCUUG
rnacentral:lncRNA from 10 species